rnacentral:rRNA from 1 species
UACAGAGGAUGCAAGCGUUAUCCGGAAUGAUUGGGCGUAAAGCGUCUGUAGGUGGCUUUUUAAGUCCGCCGUCAAAUCCCAGGGCUCAACUCUGGACAGGCGGUGGAAACUACCAAGCUGGAGUUCGGUAGGGGAGACUGGAAUUCCUGGUGUAGCGGUGAAAUGCGCAGAUAUCAGGAGGAACACCGGUGGCGAAGGCGGGUCUCUGGGCCGAUACUGACGCUGAGGAGCGAAAGCGUGGGGAGCGAACAGG